rnacentral:lncRNA from 1 species
CGAUGAUGAUAUCACUGAGUGCUGGAAAAGGUUUCUGCCACUACCUUCCUAGACUCAUCUAAGUGGAUGGACUCCAGGGGAUGGAGAAUGGAAGGCAGCAGAUGUUUGUUGACUUCUUGCUCUAUAUCGGGCACUGUGCUAGAUACCAUACACGCCAUCAACAUUUAGGACAGUAUGACAAAGGAGAAUGAAAGCUGUCUCUUGUAGAUAGGAUAUUUUCAGCCGUCAUCACCAUGGACUCUUUGAAAUGUACUACUUCAGAAAAGCCACAGUGACUCCCUCUGGGCCUCACCCACCUGAGAUGACAUCACGACGCAAAUCUAGGACUUACGCUCUUCAUACGGAUGGAAUGGUUGGUUCACUUGGCUUUCAGAGUGCAGACAAGCCAUUCAGUGGAGGGCAUGCCUCAGCCUGCACUCUUCUGACUCAUGACAUGACUUCUCCAUGGAGAGCCAGGAUUUUUCUCAAGUGUAACAAUAUUAAUUAUCAAGUCACUUUAAAACAUGUGUGAUUGGUUGCAGUACAUUGAUUCUGAAGAUGGCCCAGAUCUUCACUCAUAUCCUGAUGUCCUUUAGCGUGUCACUUUGCAGCUCCUCCCAUGAAACGAUCAAGUCUAUUUCCCUACACCUUAAAAGUGGGUUGGACUUAUCUUUAUUUAUUCCUGGAGAGGACACUCUUGGUGCCCCACCCAUCCUCCCUCCUCCUUGCUACUUUAGCCUACCUGAAUUCCAAAUGUACCUGUGUUUCUUUGCCUGAGAACUCACUCUGAUUGCCAAAGCCUGAUUUGUCUGCUCUGAUGGCUUAAAAAUAGAUUCACACAUUUUUUAAUACUCCUCCCUCCCCUUUUCUUGAACGUGGGCCAAACUUUAUGACUUGACUCGCUUCUAUCAAAUAGAAUGUGGUGGAAAUGACAGUGUGACUUUCAAGACUAGGCCAUAAAAGGCCCUGUGGUCUCAUGGUCUCUCUUGGAUCACUCAUUUUGGGGUCAGCAUAUGCCUUGUUGUGGGGACACUCAAGCAGUCAAAUGGAGAAGUUGAUAUGGUGAGGAACUGAGGCCUCCAACCAACAGCCAGCACUGACCAGCCAGCUGUGCAAGUGAACCACCCUAGAAGCAGGUCCUCCAGCCUCAGUCAAACCUUCAGAUUACUAAAUCCCUGCCCAUUUCUUAAAUGCAACCUCAUGAGGAACCUCAAGCCAGAACUCACCAGCUAAGCUAUUCCAAAUUUCUUCACCCUUGCAAACUGUAUGAAAUAAUAAAUAUUUAUUGUCAUAUUAAGCCACUAAAUUUUGGGAUAGUAUGUUACACAUUGGUAUAUAACUAAACCCAUCUACAUGACAGGUUGGAAAUGUUGGUGGGUUACCCACUGGAAGCACCUUCCA